GGCCUACCAUGGUGGUAACGGGUAACGGGGUGUUAGGGCACGACACCGGAGAGGGAGCCUGAGAAACGGCUACCACAUCCAAGGAUGGCAGCAGGCGCGCAAAUUACCCAAUCCCGACACGGGGAGGUAGUGACAAUAAAUAACAAUACGGGGUUCUUUCGGAUCUCGUAAUUGGAAUGAGUACAAUUUAAAUCUCUUAACGAGGAACAAUUGGAGGGCAAGUCUGGUGCCAGCAGCCGCGGUAAUUCCAGCUCCAAUAGCGUAUAUUAAAGUUGUUGCAGUUAAAAAGCUCGUAGUUGAAUUUCGGGGUCAGCAGGUUGGUCGUGCCAAUGGUAUGAACUGGCCUUGCUGAUUCCUCCCUCUUGAUGAGCCGUAAUGUCAUUAAUUUGGUGUUGCGGGGAAUCAGGACUGUUACUUUGAAAAAAUUAGAGUGUUUAAAGCAAGCUAACGCUUGAAUACAUUAGCAUGGAAUAAUGAAAUAGGACGUUUGAUCCUAUUUUGUUGGUUUCUAGGAUUGACGUAAUGAUUAAUAGGGAUAGUUGGGGGCAUUAGUAUUCAAUUGUCAGAGGUGAAAUUCUUGGAUUUAUUGAAGACUAACUACUGCGAAAGCAUUUGCCAAGGAUGUUUUCAUUAAUCAAGAACGAAAGUUAGGGGAUCGAAGACGAUCAGAUACCGUCGUAGUCUUAACCAUAAACUAUGCCGACUAGGGAUCGGAUGAUGUUAAUUUUUUAAUGACUCAUUCGGCGCCUUACG
rnacentral:rRNA from 1 species